rnacentral:lncRNA from 1 species
UUUAGGAUUUUAACCUAUUGAAUUAUCAGUAUUCUCUUUUAUUCGAUUUCAAUAUUGCGAUGAGCUUGAAUUUGACAGAUUUGUGGCAUCCCUUUUGGAGCAAUAAAUUUUUUCUCCAUUUCCAAUUUGAGGUAAACAAUUAGUACUACUUUUUUUAUUUCAGCUUAAAUGACAGGUUUUUGGAGCAGAAUUUAGUAUACAUUGGAAAAUUAGCGAAAAAUCUUCAGUUACCUGAGUUCUAAAAAGGAGUUAGGGUUGUGGGUUAGGGAUUUCUCAUGGAAAUGUUUUAGAACAAAAUGGGAUGUUGACUUUCUCCAGCUCUGUUAUGAAAAACGUUUUUGAAAAAAAAUACCUUUUUUUGGGGUGUAAACUUUUUCUUUUUGUAAACUGGGUUUAUUAGGAUUUUUAACUUCUGCAGGGUCUUCUGACGGCAUAGUGGUGGAUAACCUGAGAUGGACUCCACUGAUUUUCACAUUAGAAAGCCCCUUGGAAGAAGAAAAUCUGGUCAUGUAUAAAAUACAAUGAUAAAUAGUAUUUAAUAGAUGGCUAAACUUAUAAUUAGUUUAGCUACUCAACUAAUCAUGCUUUGUUAAUUCAAGAUAUUACUCAUCUGUUGUUGUUUAAUGGAGAUGCCACGCCAUUCUUAUUGCAGGUACAUUUUAGAAAGAAAACUAUUUAUCCUUUUAUUCUUUGAAGUUUAGGUUUAUUGGUGAGCUUGAAGUUUGUGUGGAGGUAGUUCAGUAUGUACAGUAUUUACAGGAGACGGCACAUAAGUAUAAGGCAUUGUAUCAACCUUGGGGGACUUGGAGCCUACAAAAUUUAUGCCAUGGGUAAAUUCUAUACCUACAUUUAUAACUUCCCUAUUGUAAUUAAUAUUGACUCUUCUAAAACAAAUUUACUCUUGCUUCAGUUUGUUAAAAUAUUACAGU